UAUAGCUGCUACUCUUGGCUCCUUACUCCAUUGUACCAACCUGAUUCUCCUGCUUAACACAAUUAUAAUAAUGCACAUAAGUCCACGCGGAAUGUGAUAGAAAGAUGUUUUGGGGUGCUGAAAUUUAGGUUUCGGUGUCUGGAUAAGUCUGCAGGGCUUUUGUUGUAUAGUCCCUCAAAGGUGACUAGGAUUGUGUUCUGCUGCUGUUUUCUUCAUAACAUGUGUUUGCGGCAACAUCUGCCACAUGUUGUUGAUGAACAAAACAGUCAGCAAGUAGGUGAGUUAGAAACAUCUGGCGACAGUGUGAGUACAGAUGUAGGGAGGCAGGUAAGGCAAGAAGUGAUUAUGCGUUAUUUUAACGACAGCUGAGGGGAUUGUGGAUCCUCGCUUUGUGGACUGGCCAAAAUGGCUUGUGGUGGCAGGGAUGACACUGUAGAGAUGCGCCGUUGUGGUGGUGAGGAUGCUGCUGGAGAUUCAGCCUCAAGCCGGCGUCUCUUGAAUAUGUGUAUACACUAAAUUCUUACCUGCAUCGCCAGCAUCUGCAUCUCUUGGCAGUGUGGGUUGUGGCCUGGCUGUGCUGCGUCUCUUAAGUACUGUAGAAAUAUGAAGAUUGUCCUUAUGAACAUUCUAUUAUGUUUAUAUGUUUAUGCAAAAUCCUUAUUGUGAUGGAAACAUAUGAGGAACCUGAUGAGAAGUGAACCAAACUAUGCUUAUGCUUUUCUGCCUGACUUCAUUGGGUGUGUAUAGUUAAAUUAUGAAACCAUUACACCAACCAAUCCAUACACAAAGGUGCAGAAAUAACAAUAUUAUACUACUUAAAACCCAACCGUGGUAGCUUAACACAACCAGAAUAUUGCUCUGUAUUUCACAUUUUUUUGCUGCUAACAACCAAACACUAACCCCAAAUAUAUGUGCAAAAUUGUAAGCAUAAAAUUCAAAUAUGCAUAAAAAAAUCACAUCAACCAUACAAAGGACAACCCAGAACAACACACAAUAACCAUAAGUCCAUUUAAAAAAUGUUUAAAUAUUUUUUGGCAAAACACAUGACUCACACUUCAUUUAAAGACACCAACAACAAUUUUCUUUUGUAUUAAAAAAACAGAAAAAGCCCAAGGCCACCUGCUACAUUGACAAUACAAAGGAUUAAACAUAACUAUUUGUGAUUAAAACUACAUCACCAACACAUUAGAAGAAUGAACCAACUUACAAUCACAAUUAGCUAGAAGACAUUUCAGACAACUAAGGACAAAGCACAGAUGUUGUAAUUAUAAAUAAACAACAAAUUUAAACUCACCAUCCUGCCUUGGGCGAUCCGAAUCCCGGACAUGAGUCGCACCAACCACUUCUGGCGGAAUAAGAGUACGCACAGGCUCCUCCCAAUCCUGAUAUAACGCUCGGAAGGGGUGUCCACCCCCUGUUUGGCGGGCUGAUUUAGCCUCCUUAAACAUCUUAGCCUUGACACGGCGCUUGAUGUCGUAGAAUCGCUUACGACACGUGUCCUCGGUCCUUCUCACCACACCCUCACUAUUAACUGCCGCAACGACCUUCCCCCACAGAACACUCUUCCUGCGUGAAGAAACCUUUGCAGCAUCAUGGCCAAACAGCUGUCGAUGAUGCCUCAUCAGCUCCCGCACCAAUGCCAUAUUCUCUGCGUAGCUGAAUUUGACAUUGCGGCCCGUCUUUGUAGUGGUGCGUGGCUGCGGAGCCACAGCACCAUCACUGUCAAAAUCAGUCGAGGCCGCAGCAGCAACCUCCCCCUCCUCCUCACUAACCUCCUCCACCUCACUCACCUCCUCCCUCUCACUCACCUCCUCCACCUCACUCACCUCCUCCCUCUCACUCACCUCCUCCACCACACUCACCUCUGACUGGGAGAUAUUCAGGACAAACAACAAAUAACACUGAGAAAAAAAACAGUAAACACACUCCUCCACUACCACUACACACCACACACCAAACACACACACACACACACACACACACACACACACACACACACACACACACACACACUCACUCACAAACAAUGACAAUAGACGUUAAAAAAAAAACUUAGACAAAAUACUAGACAGACUUUUAAAUAGCUACACAACAAGUAUGACAAGACUACUUACACACACAGUACAGCACUCAACAAUCGCAAAGAACCUCCUCAAAACCGCCAAAAACUCCUAUCAACUCACCAACUCCAAACACACCUUCCUCUCACCUCUCCACUAGCUAAACCAACAAGGUUCGGACGGUUUGGGGCGGUUUUAUAGUAAUGAGCACAGACACUCCUCCAUCACGAAAUCAAACCAAUCACGGACGAGUGACAAAAACGAAACUUAGAAAAAAACCGCGUCCGGGACCGGAAAAACACUGCUGUAACCGAAAAAUGACGCAGUCGGAAAAAAAAACAGAGAACACGGCCGCAAAUCCACAAAAUCGGCCGCAUUCUACCUUGGAAAAACAAGAAUGACAUCGACAUCGAAAAAUGGAAAUAAUCAAAACACGACAGCAUAGUAAAUGAGGCGUAAUAAAUUCAAAAAGUUCCAAAUUCACACAUUCAAUGUCAUUCGUGUUUAAACUUUAAUCUCAUUCUGAAAAAUACGAAUUUUAGUAAAUAUACCCCCUUGUGUGUGCUGUAGGUGCUGUGCUCCACUGCAUUUACAUAAAUAUAAGCACUGU